AGUCAUAUGCUUGUCUCAAAGAUUAAGCCAUGCAUGUCUCAGUACAAGCCAAAUUAAGGUGAAACCGCGAAAGGCUCAUUAAAUCAGUUAUGGUUCCUUAGAUCGUACCACAUUUACUUGGAUAACUGUGGUAAUUCUAGAGCUAAUACAUGCAAACAGAGCUCCGACCGGAGACGGAAGGAGCGCUUUUAUUAGAUCAAAACCAAUCGGUGGCGGGUUCGCUCGUCAUCGUACAACUUGGUGACUCUGAAUAACUUUUUGCUGAUCGCACGGUCUUGCACCGGCGACGCAUCUUUCAAAUGUCUGCCUUAUCAACUGUCGAUGGUAGGUUCUGCGCCUACCAUGGUUGUAACGGGUAACGGGGAAUCAGGGUUCGAUUCCGGAGAGGGAGCCUGAGAAACGGCUACCACAUCCAAGGAAGGCAGCAGGCGCGCAAAUUACCCACUCCCGGCACGGGGAGGUAGUGACGAAAAAUAACGAUACGGGACUCAUCCGAGGCCCCGUAAUCGGAAUGAGUACACUCUAAACCCUUUAACGAGGAUCAAUUGGAGGGCAAGUCUGGUGCCAGCAGCCGCGGUAAUUCCAGCUCCAAUAGCGUAU
rnacentral:rRNA from 1 species